UCGUAGGUGGUUUGUCGCGUUGUUCGUGAAAUCUCACGGCUUAACUGUGAGCGUGCGGGCGAUACGGGCAGACUUGAGUACUGCAGGGGAGACUGGAAUUCCUGGUGUAGCGGUGGAAUGCGCAGAUAUCAGGAGGAACACCGGUGGCGAAGGCGGGUCUCUGGGCAGUAACUGACGCUGAGGAGCGAAAGCGUGGGGAGCGAACAGGAUUAGAUACCCUGGUAGUCCACGCCGUAAACGGUGGGUACUAGGUGUGGGUUUCCUUCCUUGGGAUCCGUGCCGUAGCUAACGCAUUAAGUACCCCGCCUGGGGAGUACGGCCGCAAGGCUAAAACUCAAAGAAAUUGACGGGGGCCCGCACAAGCGGCGGAGCAUGUGGAUUAAUUCGAUGCAACGCGAAGAACCUUACCUGGGUUUGACAUGCACAGGACGCCGGCAGAGAUGUCGGUUCCCUUGUGGCCUGUGUGCAGGUGGUGCAUGGCUGUCGUCAGCUCGUGUCGUGAGAUGUUGGGUUAAGUCCCGCAACGAGCGCAACCCUUGUCUCAUGUUGCCAGCGGGUAAUGCCGCGGACUCGUGAGAGACUGCCGGGGUCAACUCGGAGGAAGGUGGGGAUGACGUCAAGUCAUCAUGCCCCUUAUGUCCAGGGCUUCACACAUGCUACAAUGGCCGGUACAAAGGGCUGCGAUGCCGCGAGGUUAAGCGAAUCCUUUUAAAGCCGGUCUCAGUUCGGAUCGGGGUCUGCAACUCGACCCCGUGAAGUCGGAGUCGCUAGUAAUCGCA
rnacentral:rRNA from 1 species